rnacentral:lncRNA from 1 species
UAAUAUCUCUUUUACUUGACCCAUGCCAAACACCUGAAAUUUAUUCCUCUGGGAUUUGCUUGCUUAUAUGCUCCCAUAAAAUUGUGUUCAGACUAAUGUCUAUGGAUGUAAUCUCUAUGGAAAAUUAUGUCCUUCUAUAAGUGUGUAAACCCUUUGUUGGCCUACCCGCGGUAGUUAGUAGUAGAACUUUGUUUCAACAGGUUCGGUUUAAGCUUCAUAUCAUAUGCUGUGGUCUCGUUUUCAUUUUUUGUUUCUUCCUUUAGGCAUCUGCCUGAUGCAUUAAAUAGAUAUCAGGUAUAUGAGGUAAUUGUUACUUGGAAAGAACAAUGUUUUUAUUCCUGAUAGACACCACAUUAAUGCUAGAGUUAACAUAGAUGGUCUAGUUUGCUUAGACAAUAUGGAUGAAGUUCCAUAUUUUUUCCUUUUUGGAGAGAAGAUCCACAUGUAAUUUUUGCUUAAUCAGUCAGGGGUGUAUAAGAAACACAUUUGGAAGUAUGCCUGUGUACAUAAGAAUAUUUUUCAUAUAAACAUGUAGAAAACAUGGGCGUGUAUGCUCUAUUUGUGUGCAUCUAUAUGUAUCUAUUUGAACAUAAGGUUC